rnacentral:rRNA from 1 species
UGGGGAAUAUUGCACAAUGGGCGAAAGCCUGAUGCAGCGACGCCGCGUGAGGGAUGAAUGCCUUCGGGUUGUAAACCUCUUUCAGCAGGGACGAAGCGAAAGUGACGGUACCUGCAGAAGAAGCACCGGCCAACUACGUGCCAGCAGCCGCGGUAAUACGUAGGGUGCAAGCGUUGUCCGGAAUUAUUGGGCGUAAAGAGCUCGUAGGCGGUUUGUCGCGUCGGCUGUGAAAACCUGGGGCUCAACCCCGGGCCUGCAGCCGAUACGGGCAAACUAGAAUUCGGUAGGGGAGACUGGAAUUCCUGGUGUAGCGGUGAAAUGCGCAGAUAUCAGGAGGAACACCGGUGGCGAAGGCGGGUCUCUGGGCCGAUAUUGACGCUGAGGAGCGAAAGCGUGGGGAGCAAACA